UAUCAUUUCAUUGGUUCUAGUAACAUUGAGGUUUUAUCUUGCUACUUACAUACUGAAGUAUGUAUAGUCUCUGUAAUAUAUCAACAUAUUUACAGUUACUAAUGCCUGGCACAUAAUAGCUGACCUUGGCUUUUUACCCACGAGACAGAGACGAAAUGCCCUUUUGCUUGCUCUAAUGCUGAGUAUGACUCCCUAACCACUAAUCUAUUAACAGACCUCUCUUCACAUCUGUUCCUCCCAACUACUGUAUAUAUUACUGGGAGGUAUUAACUACUGUAUAUAUUACUGGGAGGUAUUAACUACUGUAUAUAUUACUGGGAGGUAUUAACUACUGUAUAUAUAUUACUGGGAGGUAUUAACUACUGUAUAUAUUACUGGGAGGUAUUAACUACUGUAUAUAUAUUACUGGGAG
ensembl:lncRNA